CGACCCGACUCACUCUCUUCCUCUUUCUCUCUCGCGCGAUCUCCCCGACGCCGACGCCGACGCCGACGUCGACGCCUGCUGCGACCAUCGGCGAUCUUCUCCUUCUUCUUCUCUCGGAGGCGCCGGCGGGGAGGGAUCUCGGAACGUUGGGAAGGAGGGAUCCUAUUCCUUUCCCGACCUUUCCUUCUCCUCUGGUCUCGGCGAACCGGGGCGACGGGGCUUCAAUUUGGGGUUUGCGCUUAUUGUCGGAAAGGGACCGAGGGCACCGACGUUAGAUCUGGCCAGCGUCGAACGAUUGUGUGAGGUCACCAUCAUUAUCCCUCUCCGAUCUCCUUCCCCUGCUCGUCGGCAAGCACAGAUUGUGCCCUAGCCGGGAUUUAUGGAGGGUUCUGACCUCUUCUCUGUGCGUUAGCAAGAACAAGACCGAGCCCUAAUCGGGAUAUUGGAGGGGUGCUGUGGUGAUUUCAGCCAUCACAGAUUGAUUGGGUUGGUUCCUCCACCGGAGUUGUGAUCAUCUCCGGCGAUUGAAGCAGUAGAGUGAGUCCAGUGUAUUUCCUUGACCUAGAUCAAUGAUGGGAUCAAGAGGAGUUGUGAAAUGUGUUGUUCGGUUGUGGAAUGCUGUGAGUGCUAUGUUACUGUAAUUUCUGUGAAGGCUGUGGGUUGUUGGUCAGAAUUGGUUAACAGUGGUGGGUGUCACUAUGUUGGGAAAUUAAAGGUGGUAAAUCUAGAUUAACCUAAAUCUGAGGUCAAGAUCAUGAUGUGGAGGUUAGUUUCUUAUUGAAGGAUAAUGGAAAGGAGUAGUAAUCAUGAUUAGCUAUUACUCUAGAAUCGGUUAUUUAUUUAUAGGUGUUUUAUGUA